UCUCCGUUGGUGAACCAGCGGAGGGAUCAUUACCGAGUUUACAACUCCCAAACCCCUAUGUGAACGUUACCAAACUGUUGCCUCGGCGGGAAGUUCAUGCCCCGGGCGCGUCGCAGCCCCGGACCAAGGCGCCCGCCGGAGGACCAACCAAAACUCUUUUGUAUGUCCCUCGCGGACUUUUAUAAUUCUGAACCAUCUCGGCGCCCCUAGCGGGCGUUUCGAAAAUGAAUCAAAACUUUCAACAACGGAUCUCUUGGUUCUG
rnacentral:misc_RNA from 1 species